UACGGGGGGGGCAAGCGUUGUUCGGAAUUACUGGGCGUAAAGGGCUCGUAGGCGGCCAACUAAGUCGGAUGUGAAAUCCCCAGGCUUAACCUGGGAACUGCAUCCGAUACUGGAUGGCUUGAAUCCGGGAGAGGGAUGUGGAAUUCCAGGUGUAGCGGUGAAAUGCGUAGAUAUCUGGAGGAACACCGGUGGCGAAGGCGGCAUCCUGGACCGGUAUUGACGCUGAGGAGCGAAAGCCAGGGGAGCAAACGGG
rnacentral:rRNA from 1 species